UUGAAAAUGCAUCAAUCAACUUCUCAGUUCAAACAGCCUAACAACAAACAGAAAAAUGCCUUUACCGUGUGAAUUUUGUAUUGAGGGAGAUUACUCCGAAAUCAAGUGCAACUGCUGUCCAAACUGCAAGUGUUUAGACGCAAAAUUCGUUUCGCUGUGCACCUGCGAGUCCAACAAAAAUUCUUUGAACUAGCAGGAUGAAAACUCCACUAGUCUGGAGUAUUUUUGGAAAACUUCGAAUGUUUCCUUGUUAGGUUAUAAUGCAUGUUAGGCCUUUUAAAUAAACUGCUUCUGAAAAUUAAA
rnacentral:lncRNA from 1 species